AAUCAACGCUGGCGGCGUGCCUCAGACAUGCAAGUCGAACGAUUAAAGCUCUCUUCGGAGAGUGUAUAGAGUGGCGCACGGGUGAGUAACACGUAAGUAAUCUACCUUUGAGUGGGGAAUAACCCGGGGAAACCCGAGCUAAUACCGCAUAAUGCAGCGGCAUCGCAAGAUGACAGUUGUUAAAGGAGCAAUCCGCUUAAAGAGGAGCUUGCGGCAGAUUAGCUAGUUGGUAAGGUAAUGGCUUACCAAGGCUACGAUCUGUAUCCGGUCUAAGAGGACGGUCGGACACACUGACACUGAAUAACGGGUCAGACUCCUACGGGAGGCAGCAGUCGGGAAUUUUGGGCAAUGGGCGAAAGCCUGACCCAGCAACGCCGCGUGAAGGAUGAAGUAUUUCGGUAUGUAAACUUCGAAAGAAUAGGAAGAAUAAA
rnacentral:rRNA from 1 species